rnacentral:rRNA from 1 species
GACGAACGCUGGCGGCGUGCCUAAUACAUGCAAGUUGAGCGCUGAAGGUUGGUACUUGUACCAACUGGAUGAGCAGCGAACGGGUGAGUAACGCGUGGGGAAUCUGCCUUUGAGCGGGGGACAACAUUUGGAAACGAAUGCUAAUACCGCAUAAAAACUUUAAACACAAGUUUUAAGUUUGAAAGAUGCAAUUGCAUCACUCAAAGAUGAUCCCGCGUUGUAUUAGCUAGUUGGUGAGGUAAAGGCUCACCAAGGCGAUGAUACAUAGCCGACCUGAGAGGGUGAUCGGCCACAUUGGGACUGAGACACGGCCCAAACUCCUACGGGAGGCAGCAGGAGGGAAUCUUCGGCAAUGGACGAAAGUCUGACCGAGCAACGCCGCGUGAGUGAAGAAGGAUUUCGGAUCGUAAAACUCUGUUGGUAGAGAAGAACGUUGGUGAGAGUGGAAAGCUCAUCAAGUGACGGUAACUACCCAGAAAGGGACGGCUAACUACGUG